AAGGAAAAGAGUCACCCUCCACGGGCCUACGUGAACGCAGAAGCACGCCUGCGUCUACCACUAUCUUCGACUCGUCACACUGUGGAUUCCAUAGAAGGCUGCACUUGCUGGUUCGUUUUCGUGUCUUUAACGUGUGACUGUCGCUGUACACGAGCACAUAUUCAGUUUCAACCGCCACAGCUGCGGAUCUUUUUUUCGUGUUGGUGUGGUUUACGCGCGCUUUUCUCAGUUCUCCCAAGCCAACCUCCUUCUCCCCCUCCCAAUAAGGCAGCUUGAACCUGAUGAACAUCACUAGUCGCACAUCGGGGCCGCUGCGCACCACUGCGCCGGCGGCAUCAGCGCCGUCCGCGGCAGCGCGCCGUCGCUUCCAGCUUACGGAGGAACAGCGCCAGGAGAUCCGAGAGGCAUUCGAGCUGUUCGACUCGGAUAAGAACGGACUCAUCGAUGUGCAUGAGAUGAAGGUCAGCAUGCGAGCACUUGGCUUUGAUGCAAAACGGGAGGAGGUGCUGCAGCUCAUGCAGGACUGCGCUGCCCGGGACCAGAACAAUCAGCCGCUUAUGGACUUACCGGGCUUCACAGAUAUCAUGACGGACAAGUUUGCGCAGCGCGAUCCUCGGCAGGAGAUGGUGAAGGCGUUUCAGCUGUUUGACGAGAACAAUACCGGCAAAAUCUCCCUUCGCUCGCUGCGUCGUGUGGCGCGGGAACUGGGCGAGAACAUGAGCGACGAAGAGCUGCAGGCAAUGAUUGACGAGUUUGACGUAGAUCAAGAUGGCGAGAUCAACCUAGAAGAGUUUCUUGCCAUUAUGCUAGAGGAGGACGACUACUAGGAAGCGGGAAGCGCCCAGUCGGGCACAGGACAGCUAAGGUACGAGGAGAACCUUGUAGGUGGCUGUCUGAUGGCUUUUGUGCGCUGCUGAAGGGAGAAGACGCAGCAAGAGCAUCCAGCGUCGAAUUAAAAGCGGCGAGACCGACAGCGAUGGAGAUGUAUCACCGGACUCGGCAAAGCCACGUGCAUGUGCGAUACAUGCUCUCCUGCUGACUUGUUCAUGCUGUCUCUCUCUCUCUCUCUCUGCAAGCUCUGUCCACGACAGCUCUGCUCCUUUUUUUUUUCGUUGCUUUCCGCUGCUUGGUGUGGUUCGGCCUCUCCGUUCCCUUUUCGUUUUCUUGCAUAG
rnacentral:misc_RNA from 1 species